GACGAACGCUGGCGGCGUGCCUAAUACAUGCAAGUCGAGCGAGCUUGCCUAGAUGAAUUUGGUGCUUGCACCAGAUGAAACUAGAUACAAGCGAGCGGCGGACGGGUGAGUAACACGUGGGUAACCUGCCCAAGAGACUGGGAUAACACCUGGAAACAGAUGCUAAUACCGGAUAACAACACUAGACGCAUGUCUAGAGUUUAAAAGAUGGUUCUGCUAUCACUCUUGGAUGGACCUGCGGUGCAUUAGCUAGUUGGUAAGGUAACGGCUUACCAAGGCAAUGAUGCAUAGCCGAGUUGAGAGACUGAUCGGCCACAUUGGGACUGAGACACGGCCCAAACUCCUACGGGAGGCAGCAGUAGGGAAUCUUCCACAAUGGACGCAAGUCUGAUGGAGCAACGCCGCGUGAGUGAAGAAGGGUUUCGGCUCGUAAAGCUCUGUUGGUAGUGAAGAAAGAUAGAGGUAGUAACUGGCCUUUAUUUGACGGUAAUUACUUAGAAAGUCACGGCUAACUACGUGCCAGCAGCCGCGGUAAUACGUAGGUGGCAAGCGUUGUCCGGAUUUAUUGGGCGUAAAGCGAGCGCAGGCGGUUUUUUAAGUCUGAUGUGAAAGCCCUCGGCUCAACCGAAGAAGUGCAUNNNAAACUGGAAAACUUGAGUGCAGAAGAGGACAGUGGAACUCCAUGUGUAGCGGUGAAAUGCGUAGAUAUAUGGAAGAACACCAGUGGCGAAGGCGGCUGUCUGGUCUGUAACUGACGCUGAGGCUCGAAAGCAUGGGUAGCGAACAGG
rnacentral:rRNA from 1 species